CAUCUCCUUUAGAAUUAUUUAAGGUAACGCCUGCUCAAUGUAUAUAUAAAUAGCCGCAGUAUCUUGACUGUGCUAAGGUAGCAUAAUCAUUAGUCUUUUAAUUGAAGGCUGGUAUGAAUGGCGACACGAGAAAAAAUCUGUCUCUAAUUAAAAUUUUGAAUUUCAUUUUUAAGUGAAAAAGCUUAAAUGUAUUUGGAGGACGAUCAGACCCUUUGGAGCUUUAUUUUUAUUGCAAUUUAAAUUAAUUUAAGAUAAUUAAAUUGAGAUAAGAAUUUUGUUGGGGCGACAGAGAGAUUAAGUAUCACUCUUUAAAAUAAACAAAUUUAAUUGGAAUAUUUGAUCCUUGAAGAGAGAUUAAAAGACUAAGUUACCCUAGGGAUAACAGCGUAAUCUUUUUAGAGAGUUCUUAUCGAUAAAAAGGUUUGCGACCUCGAUGUUGGAUUAAGAAAUUAGCAAGGUGCAGAAGUUUUGCUGGAAAGUCUGUUCGACUUUUAAAUUCUUACAU
rnacentral:rRNA from 1 species